CCCUCCGCUGAUGGCCUGUGCAGACCCAA
rnacentral:piRNA from 1 species